rnacentral:misc_RNA from 1 species
GGUUUUUCGUCUUAUUUAUCACUGUUCGAUAAUAAUUAAAUGAUAGGGUAAAGAAAAUUUUUACAAUUUUAAUAUAACUUUUAUACUGUAUGACCUAUUUGCUGCCUAAUGAAGACACUGAUCUCCGUUCGGAUUGUCACGGACGAACAUUAUACUUCCUUAAAUCUUUCUUUUGUUCAAGGGAAGUGGAACAUACUAAUUUUCAACUAUACCAAAUGGAACAAUUAUAUGGAAAGAAGAGGAUAAGAAAAUGUAAUAUUUUCAACUCUCAAUUAAUAUUUAUAUUAAUGGGAAGUUGAUUUUAUACAUAAGACAUCGAUUGAUAAUUGAUAACAAUUGUCUGAUAAGUAAUAGAUAGGAGAACUAUUCAAAUUUAUUUGUGAUAAGACGAACCUGACAUCAUCAAGCAGUUACAACUUAUGAUUAAAGCCGUUUUUUGCAAUCAUACCCUUUUUUGACUGAGACAGUCUAAUAGUGUGAAAAUAAAAACGCCCCUUAUGAGUAAAUAAUACAGAGAAUUUACUAUGAGAAGAUAAGAUAGAUAAAGCAUACGUAGGCACAAAAGAUGAUAGAGGGAAAAGAGAAUUUAUCACGCAUACAGCUAGUCAAUAAGGUAUAAUUUAUAAUUUAAAAACUAACCAAUUAAUUAAGUGUGUUCAUUGUCUAAAUUAAGAUACUGUUAAAAAUAUGUAAACUUUAUAGCAUUUGUCAAUUUAUCAGCAAAUAUGUACAAUCUAUUAAAUUUUAACUGGCUUAUAUGAUAUUUUCUUUCAUUCGUUUCAAAAAGAAGUAGAAGAAAAGAGCAUCCCUGCGAAAGAGAGGAUAUGUUUUAUCAAAUUCAAUUACAUCCAAUUUUUUUUCUUCUCUUAUUUAUAAUCAAUUAUGUACAUUGUAACAAUGUAAAUUUGGCUAUAGGCCUUCCUGUUGUAGCAUCAUCGAGAUUCAAUGACAGCUUUUUACCCGAAUUUGGAAAUGAUAAUCUAAAAACUAACACUACCACUAAUCCUCUGUAUGCAUUAACAGUGUUAGUUGGUGAAAGCCGAUACAAAGUUGGGAAAUUUCACUAUCAAUAGUCAACAAUAUUUGAUGGAUGAGAUAAACCAGGAAAUAUGCGUAAAGAGUACAAGUGACUUUAACAAAGAACAACAAACUUCAAGCUUUUAUUAUCGUUGUUAUGAGACAACAUGUACAGGUUCUUUUCUAACAAUAAUAUCCAAUGGUUGUGAGUUGGGAUUAUCGCAUUUUAAAGCUAUGGGUACUGUUGUGAAAUUAUUGGAUUAUCAAAUUAUAAAUUCAAUUGAGACAAAGUCGUUUAAUGGUACAAAGAAUGUCAAUGUAUUAUUCGAUAAUCUGUAUAGUACUUACCUCCAAGAAAAAUGGUUUAUCAGAUUGGAUUUUCAAAAUCCAAUUACAAUUAGGGCACUUUUCGUUGACGUUGUACAGACUGAAGAUGAAAUGGUUUUUGAAAAUUUCUACGUUUCUGUCAAUUGGAUUCCAGUUUCAGAAUUGAAUUCCAACCAGGAUUAUUGCGUCAAAAAAUAUACUGCUCCAAUUGUAGACGUUGGAUAUUUUACUUAUAUAUUCAAUUGUAUUCCAGCAAGGUCUGGAAAAUAUUUGUUUAUGGGAAAAGAUACUGAUUUCUUGGAAGAUAAUAUUACAAUAGCAAAUCUAAAGAUAUUUGGUAAAAUUCUAAAUGAUGAUAAUCAUGAAUACGAAUCGUUGAAAGAGAACAUAUCAUCAAUUUUAAGUAGCGGUGUAGGUUAUAAGAAUGGACUUACAGAUAAUUUCUAUUCAUUUCAACAAAAUCAUUUAUCUCUUUUAAAAAACCGAGAAUUUACAAUUUCACUCAAGUCCAUGUUACAAAUUGAUUAUAUUUGUUUAACGUUUUUUGUCAAGAAAACAAUUAUUCCUGGUAUAUUCUCCAUUCAACUCUCAUCUAAUACUAAUUUGACAAUGAAAAUUUUAAAUUCCGUCUUAGGACAAACAGCUUGUAAAUCACUAAAAACUAAUUCAAAAAUUAAUACAAUAAUUAUUAAAUUAAUAAAUACUAAAGCUAAAAUAACUGAAGUUGAUUUAUUCUAUAGUAGAAUAAGAUAUGAAUUGUUCGAUGGUUCUUCAAAGGAUUGUUUAAGACAAUAUGACAUAUUUGCGACCAUUUCAUUGGCAAAUACGUAUAAUAAAUUUGGAAUAAUAACAAAAGAUGACAAACUAGAUUUAUUAGAUAUUUUGAUGUUAGCAUACGCAGAUCAAAAUUUAUAUAAAGUUAGUAAUUUUAAUGGUCAAACGUUUAAAAAUGGUAGACAAAUAUAUUGGUUCAAAUGCUCGUUUACGUCUAAUAGAAUUCAAAUAUACUCUUUAAAAAACAAUCUAAAAGAUAUUAAAUUACAAACUUUAGCCAUAUUUUGACGUAAAAACCAGAUGUUGUUUAUUUUCCAUUUUUUAUUACUAAUACAUAGAAUGAAUCAUCGAAACAGUAGUUAUUACGAAAGUUUGCGCAACUCCAGGCAGUUGGUUAUAUCAUUAAGCAACUUCCUAAUCGUAUACUAUAUGAGAUUUUAAGCUUACUAUGCAAAAUUUUUACUUGGUGAAAUUGGCAACAAUUUUAAUAGUUUUGUUUUUCUUGUUUGUCACGUUGUCCCUUCCAAGGACUGUUAAAUUAGUUUAAUAAAAUCAAACUGUUCAGAGUUUGUCAGACAGCGAUAAAAGUUUAUACUAACAGUACAUCAGAUAUCAAUACUACAAUAUUUCUGCAAAUUUUAAAUUAAAAGAAAACAUGUUUUGCAAACAUAAACAGAUAGUAGUGCCA